rnacentral:rRNA from 1 species
GACGAACCGUGCGAACGUUAUUCGGAAUCACUGGGCUUAAAGGGCGCGUAGGCGGGCAGGCAAGUCGAAGGUGAAAUCCCACGGCUCAACCGUGGAAGUGCCCCCGAUACUGCCUGUCUGGAGGGAGAUAGGGGCGUGCGGAACUUCCGGUGGAGCGGUGAAAUGCGUAGAUAUCGGAAGGAACACCGGGUGGCGAAAGCGGCGCGCGUGGAUCGUCUUCUGACGCUGAGGCGC